rnacentral:lncRNA from 9 species
AUGUGGGGCAUUCUAUGUACAAAUCUGGAUUUUCCUCUCCUGAAGAGCCAGAAGCUCUGGAACCCCAGGCCUUUAUCCUCUCAGCAGCAACUGGCAGAAGGCCUUAGGGCAGGCCUGGGCUCUCUGAUCCCACAGUCCCCAGGACUCUCCACGGCACCCCACUCGAUGCCUGCAGGCUGUCGGUUCGAGGCCCCUGCUGGAGUGUCUGGGGUACAGAGGGGGGUGGCCCAGGCCUUCUCCCAUCCAUUGCCCUGUAGCCUUUCACUGAGGAGGACUUUGGGGUCUGGGAGCUCUGGGUUUGGAGGUGAGGUUAACAGUGGCCUCUGGAAGGGUGGGAACCUGCCUGCCACUGCGAGCAGGCCUAGCUGGGCACUCCCUGCUGUGGUUGGGGGGGUUGGGGCCUGGGAUGCGGUGGGGCUGGCGGGGGGUGCGUUGAGUCAAACUCAGAGCCCAGGGCCCAGCUCUGGAAGCCUCCAAGACCCUGCCACUGCCCACCCCAUAGGUGCCCCCCCCUCCCAAGGGCUCAGGCCACUGACAGGAGGCCUUGUCUCAGGCAAAGGGAGAAGGUGCAGAGAAACCAGCCAGAGGGGGGCCUGGGCCUGUGGGCAGAGGGUCAGUCCUGGAGGGCCAGGCAGAGUUCGUGGAAGAGGCCACACCCUGGGGGCACCUGAGGUUGUCACCCUCCACCCACCUGGGAACUUCCGAACUUGCCAUGAGGCUGAGGACCUAGAGGAGGCCGGAGGACUGAAAAAUGCAUCCGGAGCUGUCUUCCUGAACGCUCAACCCAAGUGCUUUCUGAUGCGUGAUCACUGGUGCCCAAGUUGUCACCAGAUGGGAUGUCCCCUUGCUCCAUCAAAACUGCCAAGACCUUGUUCGGCCUGGCUUUAUGGGCCGGGAGCCUGCGCCGCCGCCCCUCGCUCUGGGCCCUCCUGUCCCUGUCUUAAAAUUCUUAAUCCUUUUUGAACGAGGGGCCCUACGCUUUCAUUUUGCAUUGGUCCCUGAGCUGUGUCCUAGUUUGGCUGCUGGUUAACAGCAGCGUAAAGUUAAAAAAAAAAACCAACCACCAUGAGUUGACGUUUCUUUUUUCUUAUGUUUUCUUUUUAAAAUUGUGAUG